GAAACCAAGAAACAUGGACAUGAAAAGUGCUAUCUGACAACACGUUACUUUUAAUGUUCCAUAAACACAAAAAGGGAAGUAUUGGGUAGUCUCCUUUGCAGCUGUUGUUAGGGUCGUCACACAAUGCUUCUCCCCACUAGUGGCAAGAAGCAUUYCCUGACGACCCUGACAACAGAUGCAAAGGAGACUAAGGAUUGGGCUGUUACAAUUUAAUUCUAAGAUUAUACAAACUUUGUGUGUUGAAGAGAAAAGGGAUUUGAAUUUUUUUGCAGAAAGUAAAGAAGGGGUUUGUAACUUAAGAUGGUGGCCAGGAAGGGGGGCUUCCUCACAGGUUCAAAUGUGCAAAACAGACACCAGUAGUUUUUUUUAUUUUCUAGUAAGUAAAUAAAGAAUUAUAGCUGUUUAAAAUGGUACAUGUGGUUGGUGUCAACAAAACAUUUUAAAUUCAUGUUUAAGCUAGCCUUACACAAAAUUGAAGUUAUGUAGCAGUAAGUAAAACCAAAACUCUUCACACAGAAAUAGCUAACUGAAAAGCAAGACAAAUGCCAGUCCCAGUAUGGCAUCAUACUCUUAUAAUAACACCACUAGUACCUUAUAAAAAGUAAGGAUAAAAGCUGGCAUAUUUAUAGAAGUCAUGUAGUGCACUAUACAAGUCAAGAACACAUGGAAAUUAUGUUCAGAAAUGAUGAAAGAAGGAUCUCUAAAGAUGAAAACAGGACUUCUUCAUCUAGAGUCCAGUGUCUUAACUACAAUUUUACAAACAACAACAUUUAUUAAAUUAUUUGUGGGAGGCAUGGUGGCUUUCGGGUUAUUUUGCUGGACUUAAAAUUUAGCCAUACACAUAGAGCCCUGGCUGGAGAUGCAAAUUGUGCUCUUAAGUAUUAGACACUAUUCUCACAGAACUUCUCUCCACCUAGGUGGAUAAAUAGGUACUGGCAAGUUUUCACUGGCUCUGUUGGCCUAUGUGAGAGUCAAAUGAAGAGGUGCACAAGAGAGUUAAAAUGGAAACUAUCAGUGGAAAAGUAAGGAGAAGGAGGUGGACAUGGAUUGGACACAUGCUGUGAAUAGAUAACAGUUCCCUCCCAUGAGUUGCACUUACGUGGGUACUGGAAGG